CACCAAGGCUAUGACGCCUAGCUGGUCUGAAGGAUGAUCAGCCACACUGGACUGAGACACGGUCCAGACUCCUACGGGAGCAGCAGUGGGGAAUAUUGCACAUGGCGAAAGCCUGAUGCAGCACGCGCGUGGAGGAUGACACCCUUCGGGGCGUAACUCCUUUUAUGAGGGAAGAUAAUGACGGUACUCAUGAAUAAGCACCGGCUAACUCCGUGCCAGCAGCCGCGGUAAUACGGAGGGUGCAAGCGUUACUCGGAAUCACUGGGCGUAAAGCGCGCGCAGGCGGGUUGGUAAGUUGGAUGUGAAAGCUACGGCUCAACCGUAGAACUGCAUCCAAAACUGCCAGCCUAGAGUCUGGGAGAGGUGAGUGGAAUUAGUGGUGUAGGGGUAAAAUCCGUAGAGAUCACUAGGAAUACCGAAAGCGAAGGCAACUCACUGGAACAGUACUGACGCUGAGGCGCGAAAGCGUGGGGAGCAAACAGGAUUAGAUACCCUGGUAGUCCACGCCCUAAACGAUGAAUGUUAGUCGUUGCGGCGCACGUCGUCGCAGUGAUGCAGCUAACGCAUUAAACAUUCCGCCUGGGGAGUACGGUCGCAAGAUUAAAACUCAAAGGAAUAGACGGGGACCCGCACAAGUGGUGGAGCAUGUGGUUUAAUUCGAAGAUACGCGAAGAACCUUACCCGGCCUUGACAUCCCGAGAACCCUCCAGAGAUGGGGGGGUGCUACUUCGGUAGAGCUCGGUGACAGGUGCUGCACGGCUGUCGUCAGCUCGUGUCGUGAGAUGUUGGGUUAAGUCCCGCAACGAGCGCAACCCUCGUGUCCAGUUGCUAACGGUUCGGCCGAGMACUCUGGACAGACUGCCUGGGCAACCAGGAGGAAGGUGAGGACGACGUCAAGUCAUCAUGGCCCUUACGGCCGGGGCGACACACGUGCUACAAUGGGCAGGACAAUGAGAUGCGAUACCGCGAGGUGGAGCAAAUCUAUAAACCUGCUCUCAGUUCGGAUUGCAGUCUGCAACUCGACUGCAUGAAGCUGGAAUCACUAGUAAUCGUGGAUCAGCCAUGCCACGGUGAAUACGUUCCCGGGUCUUGUACUCACCGCCCGUCACACCAUGGGAGUUGAGUUCACCCGAAGCGGGGAAGCUAAACCGGCUACCCUCCACG
rnacentral:rRNA from 1 species